UGGGGCGGUGGGACUUUGUUUAACCCCGUUGCCCCCGGGGCCAGGGGUCAAGGGUUUCCUCUUCCCCCGGGACAUGGUAGAGAGGCCGUCGGUCACAACAGGAGGACCGCGGCGGGGAGGGGGAUGUGACGGCCGCAAUGUUCCCCCCGCCCCGCCGCGGCCCUGACGUGCGAUCGGCGUUGGACCCCGUAAACCUCCACGUCUCCCCGGCGUCGAGAGGUUGAGGAAGGCUCCAGGUGGGUGUUUUGGGGGAACAAGAGGCGGUCAAACAUCAGCACGGGACAGAGGGGCAUGCGAAGAAGCGGCCCCUGCCCUACAGCAACCCCGGCUCUGCCUUCCCCUCCCAGGUGGAGCAGGACGUUUUUACCGGAGUGCCGGUUUUAUCGGGGUUUCACCCCCUCCCUCCACAGGCAGAGAUACCUCAGCUACCCCCCCGGAGCCAAGAAACGGGAGAGAAACGGGCAAUUUUUAUAGGUGACGUACGGGCUUACGUGAGAAUCCGUGCCCAGCACUGCUCUUUCAGUUUUUUUCUCCUGAAAUAACCCUUCCGUGCAGCUCGCACCUCCCUAUUCCAGCUCGCACCCCCUUUUCCAGGCUGGGGGGAAAUCGGGAGAGGGAGAAGCAAAAGGGAAAAGAAAAGCAUCCCCCAAUAUCCCGGUUUUUUCCUGCUCGGGCAGCGAGCCCCGGAGCUCCCAAAGUGAGCGGCGAAGAGGGCGACGGGAGACGGGCAGGAGCCGGCUCCGAGGUGGAGGGGUCGGGGGUGGGAUGAGGAUAGGGGAGGACCGUCCUUUUCGGGAUCAAGGGAGAACCAGCGAGGGAAGGAGGCUGGCGGCACCACAGGCAUCCGAGGUUUUCGACUCUGGGUGAGCAAAAGGAUUUCUUACACUCUCUUGGAAGAGGAGAAGACGCGCUUUUUUCCCCCUCUCUUUUUCCUUUUUUUUUCUUUUUUCUUUUUUUUUUUUAAUGGUGUUAAUUGCUUUUAAAAUAAAAUACGACGGAAUUUGGCAACGAGCUACAGUUUCUGCUGGCGGUGGCGUUUGGGGUUGUAUUUCCUUUCGUGGCAACUCGCAGAUGCAAAAAGGAAAAUAACGGGGGAAUUUAAAUACAUGAAUAUAAAGGCGAGGCGGCAUGUUCGGCUGUUGCAGAUCUCUCGGGCUCGAUCGGUUUAUUUUUUCCUACAUAGAAAACCUGUCUGGGGAUCCCUGUGUAUUCAUCGGGGCGGCGAGAGACUCCCCAGAGCCGCUCCGGGGCAUCGGUGGAGUGAAUCGGAGAUAAAAAAUAGGAGCCAGGUUUAACGCAGGAAGGAAGAGGAGGAGAGGUCGGAAGCGAAGUAAAGCUCCCGGCCGCCCUGCCCCGGCCGUGCCCGCAUCCUGGAGCGGACGGACGGACGGACGGACAGAUGGCCGGCAUCCCCGACGGAGGGAUGUUUCUGUCUUUGGUUAUCUAGCUGUAUGAGUGUUGUGGAGCCAUCAUAAAGCUAGAUAACCGAAAGUAGAAAUGACUUCCAGACCUGCUCGCCCGGGGGAAGCGGCCGCACCAGGACCGGCGGUGCAGAGACGGCCCGACUCGCCGCCUUGGGGCUCCAGGGCCAGCAAAGCACCGCCAUAACCACAGUAAGGAAAAAGGAUCUCAGCCUGAAUUUGGCUAUACCGGGAGAAAGAAAAGUUCUGAGGAGCUGUUAUUAUAUAUUCUAAUGAGAAGUCAUUGGAGAAAUUAAAAAGGGCAGAGAAAGACGAAGACGCCAGCACUAAUUCCACAGGAAGCCUCCCAGGGAAAAGGCUGUGUGAGUGUGAACGCUGAAAAGCAUGAAGGCCUGGAAUUAGACUAUCAUUUAGAAAGCGUUACUAAUCCGAAGUUACAGCAGUAAUUCCAUGAUUUGCUGGGUCCCACACGCAGCGCCAGAAUUAAAGAUACGGAUUUUCUAGAAAUGUAACUCAACUGUGGCACCGAGUCUCGGGAAGAUCCGAAUGAAUCAUUCAUUCCAAAGGCAGCGAAAGACGUGUCAUUAAGAACCAUCCUCCUUCUCUCCAGCCCAUCUGGAAUAUGUAUACUCGAUGCAAUCCCAGAAAUUGUGGAAGAGAUUGGAGGUGGGGAGGAGGGAAUGUAGUCCUUUCCCUCCUUUAUUAUGUUGGUUAUUUUUAAGAAAUAAUUUUCCAAUUAUUUUCACAAUAUUGUGAGUGGCGCUCAAUUCUUCUCCUAUUUAUUUUUUUCCCCCUUUCCUACGCCAGCAUCGAGUCAGGUGCAAGCGGUUUCAGUGGAGAUGCUUUAAAACUAGACUGAACAAAGCAGGAGGGAACUGAGCAAGGUGGUUGAUGAAUGCAUUUAUUCCGGAGUAAUGAUUUGAUGGGGGAUGGAGGAAAGAAACAUUCAAAUUCCUAAUGAAUAUAAUUCAGGAGGAAUCAUUCAACCAGCGUGUUAGAGAAAAUCUGUUUGGUGGGAGUGUUUCUGCACUGGCAGAACCCAGGAGGUAUUUCUGUCCUUGGCUUUUGUAAUUGCAAAAGGUGAAAAUAUAAAAAGAGGAUCUGAGGAAAAAAAAAUAUACACACAUAUAAUAAAUGUCUUUGUGUGUGUGUAUAUAAAUACAUAUAUAUAUAUAUAUAUAAUUUCAUGAAAUAAAAUGCAAGUGUGGCAAUCCGUGUCUACAUGAGAACUCUUACAAAGGAUCAAUGCAAGUUUUUUCACCUUGCUCUUUAAUCAGGUGGUCAGAAACCACCCUUGACUUCUACUAUAUUUUUUUUCUCCCCAAAAUUGCCUGUUCUGAGCUGAUUUUUCAGAUAUUUUUUCAGGCUAUGGACUCGAUUCACUAAGCCCAGAGCAGUGUCCCCAAAGGGGAUUGAGACAGGGACCGAGCGAUUUGGCCUUUAGUGUCUGGGAGAGAGAAAUUGCAGUUGAAUUUUUUCUGGUGCUUAAAUUCUUCGCUUUUGCCCCCAUUGUUGACGUGAACCUGUGGGUGUUUGGAGGAGAUGUGGAGGUGGCACCCCCUCAGUUAAUGAAGGAGGUGGCAGUGAGUGAUGGGGGACAGUGGCAUGAGAAUCCCCAGCUCAUGGGAAGGGUGGAGGGCGAGGAGGCAGAUAAAGCCCCCCAGCAAAUCCCUACUUGCGACAUACCCGCUGCAUUUAAAGAAUCCCUGGCAGCCCACUGACAGGUCUCUGCUUUCUGUCAUUUUUUUUUUUUUUAAGUGCUAUGGUGGAAGAAAGGUCCAUAAGGGUCCAUCCUUGGGCCAGGGAUGGAUUUUGGCUACGCAUGGUUCCCUUUGUGGCUUAGCCUUUUCCCCUAUAUGUGUAGCUGUUGGCUUUGGAUGGGUCUUUUCCCCUGCGUAGCCAAAACCCCAAAGGGAAGGUGUCUCUUUGGGCUGUGCUGAGAGGAGAGCCCACAAUGUCCUAGCAUUCCCAGCUCUUUCUCUUCUCAGUGGGACUCUCCUGGUGUAGCAAUGGGAUGCAGCGUAGGCCAAAUGUGGGUGAGGUUCCUGAAGCUGGGCCAUGAUGUCUUUGUUCUUCAGGCAGAGGUGGGGAUGGGCAGAGGGAGACAGAAACAGAAGAAUCAGUGUGUGCCAUUGGGGGAUAAAUGGAAAAUAUAAUUUGUGGGUUUCACCUUGGGGAAAUGAUGCUCUGUGGCAUUGAGUGCUCCAACUCACGAUUUCCGAUCUUUUCCUAAGACUCGGCCACCAUGCAGCGCGUUUGGCUCAAGGGAUGAGGUGAAGGGGGUUUGUACCAGAUACCUGGGUAAGCCAAACUCGCCUGGGCUCAGAGGCAGAUGGAGAAUGGGAUAUUACAUCCCUGCUAUUCGAAGAAGCUGCCUUGGAAGCCAGGCCAUGCAAACCCUCCCGCUUGGUUAUGGGUGAAAUCCCAUCAAUGGGCAUUUUUGUGGAAUUGCCUGGCAAUGGUGUGUUCGAUGCUUGGGGCUGGGCUCAGCCAUUUCUUUUGUCUCUCUUGGCUCCCAUCCCCUCUCUGCACCCUUGAUGCAGGCGGACGGUGCCUCCCUUUACCUGCUGCUCUGCCCUGGCUUUGUCCGUGCCACCUGAGGAAGGGCAGAGCCCAGGGCCUUGGAGGGCACAUCCAACCUGUGGCUGCGGAUGGGUGCUGCUCAUGCACCAAGGAGGGAUUGUGGCUGCGUGCUGGAAACACACUUUCUCAUUUCUGCGUGGAGGGAAGGUGCUAAUUUGGCAUCUGUGCAGGUGCAAGCACUGAGGGCUGGUGCCUGGCACGUGGCAGUGCACGUGUGCCGUUCAUGGGGUGGGUACUCCGUGUCACCCCUGUCACCGAUGCUCCCACAUCACGGACCCUCAGUUUUCUCUGGGUGUCUCUGGGGGCCACGAGCAUAAGAUGGACCAGUGGCUGCCCACCUGGCUUCCCCGCCACAUGGUACUGGGCGUCGCCCUGGCUAGGUCAGGGAUUUCUGUGCCUACAAGCCUAGUCACCUCAGGAAGGUGUUUGCCAAGAGCCAGGCUGGAAAAACACUAUCUCGAGCUUUUCGCCAUCCUUCUCUCCCUCUGGGUGAACGUGUUUGGAACCAGAGCUUGCACAUGAAGCUGGGCCAUCACACUGCCCACAGCCAUGCUCCCGGGAUCUGCAAAGAGUCAGGACAAGGCUCUGGCUUUCCUGUUUUCUGAUAUUUAUUCAGGGGCUCAGGUUUGGUUAGGAGCGUUUGCCUCGAAAGCUGAGGAGUGGAGGUAAAAAAAAGAAAAUGGGGGAGCAAAAGAACACAAUCUCUGGCAGUUAGCUGUCUCUUGGAAACUCAGUUUGCUGUUCCUAUAGAGGCUUUCUCUUUUCCUUCACCCUGGUCUGGCCUUAAGUACCACUUUAAGCGGGCUUUGCUCAUUCACAUCCAGGCUCCUUAGAGCAAUUGAGCCUGCGGGGGUUUGAAAAGAAGGGACAGUCCUUCAAUGGCAGGACCUUGGGCCAGGCUAAUUGGUUUUGGUUCAAGGGGAUACUGGAUUUGUGAAAAGCCCAAAGACAUCUUUCCCACGCCAAAUCCCAGCUCUUCAGAGGGGGAAGUGAGGGGUGCUGGGUGGAGAAGGGAGCUGAAAGAAAUGUGGUUUAGUUGAGGAACCUCUGUAAGGAUCCAGACGCCCACCAGGCUCGGCAGGGCUGGGUGCAGCGGGGGGCAGUGCCCAGGGGAGCAUGGCAGCAGGGGGACUGUGUCCCUCCUCCUCAGGGUAGGUGGGUGGCGGUAGCUGGCUCCCACCACUGGCACUCUGGCAGUGGUGGCCUGGUUUCAUUAAAACCAGGCUUUUUCAAUGGAUGCCAGACUCCUGUGGAGAUGGCAGGAAUGAAGGAAGGAUGGGACCUGGGUCCAGAAACCAAGUUGCUUCUGUUUACUCGCCUGUGCAGCCAUGGGGGGAAUUUGUUGAGGUCUCUUGUAUCUCAUUUUGAUUUAGGAAUUUAUUUAUUUUUAAACAUUGACUCUCUCUGGCACCAUUCCAGCAGUCCCACGACCUUUACUCUCCUCGAUCCAUAAAAAUUACUUAAUUAUUAGGCUGAAAAUCAAGGCUUGGAAACAAAGCCAACUUAUGGGACCAUCAGUUCUUGAUAUAUUUCCUGAGAGGACAUAUUUCUGGGCACCUUCAGAGCAGAGCACGCAGCUUGUUGGAUAUGAGAUAUCAAGGCAUUAUUUAUUGAGGAAGUCUUCACACUCCCUCAUCUGUUAUAAUUAACUGAUGACAUUUUUUCUUAGGUUCAAAAUAUGGCGAAAAAGUGUAAUUAGCACGAAGCUGAGGCACUGCAUUAAAAUGUCUCCUAUAGUUAAUGUAGAGUAGUCGUGCUAUUUAUUAUAGGAGGAGCUGGCUCUGACCUCUGUGUUGCCUAACACUUUUUAUUGUAAAGAUUCUUGAACUUUUUUUUUCUUUUUGAGCACCUCUGACACUCCCAUUGUUUGCUGUGGGCCCUUGAAAUUCGUCCGGGGGAAGCGCUUUGGCUAGAGAAAUGCCUAUUCUUUGUCCCUUAAAUUCCUUUCAGGUUUAGCUGAAUUAUGAAUUGGUCAGAAUUGCGAUUUCACUUUGGUUGCCUCUUGAGGUGGUGGUGGUGGGAAAUUAAAAUGUAUUGUUUCCCUGGAAUAAUAAUAACAGAUCAGGAGCAGGGUGAAGCCAUGGACUCCCACCACUUUAUUGAAGAGCUCUGGACCAGCCAGGGAAGGUGGGAGGAUGUUUACAGCCAACUCCAUCACCCCCUUCCACCUUUAGCUCAUAUCCUUCUAGCAUGGCCCCACCUCCUGGGAGCAAACUCCUCUGGGUCCUGGAGCCAGGAGGAAAAAGUGUAGGGGGUGUGGGUGUGUUGGCCUGGGCACUGCCAGCCUCAGCGGUCCCCUUCCCUGCCGGCCCCGGGAGAGCAGCCUUCUGCCGCUGCCAGAUAACAUUAGUCCUGUAUUUCAUAGUGGCAGAAAUCUGUGCCGAGGCUUGGGGCUUGAAAUCGUUCUGCCCGCACAGGAUGAAGCAGGGAUGGGUGCGGGGUGGAGGAAGGGGAAUUUGUUACACUUGCCUACAAUUGUUUUUCUUUUUGCUUAUAUAAACAAUCUAUUAUUUAUUAGGUAUAAAUAAUGCAUUUUUCUGUAUGUUUAGAAUGCACGUGAUUUCUGUAUAUUAAAAAUGUACAUGGUUGAAGGCACCAAAGCAGGCGCUGGCAAGUCAGGGGGUACCCGAUUUCAUUUUGACCAUGAGACGUUAAUUCAGCCUCUCCCUGCCCGUGCCCUUACGAGGCUGACAACACGGUCACAGCCUAUUUUUAGCUCCCUCCCUCUUUUGCUGUCCAGCUGCACAGCGAGGUGGAAUUAAGGUUGCAUGGGCAGCCAUAAAUUGGACACUUCCUAACUUCGAAGUGCUUGACCACGCAAUCUAAGCAAGGGCUCUUCAGGGCAGUAUUUCUGCAUGUGGCAUUAUCUGCGUUGGCCAGGCACGUCAAAUACAGGGGUAGAGAAGCCUUAGAGCAGAAAAGACCUAUCAGACUAUAGAAAGUGCUUGUUUGAAUAGAUGAGGGAGUCAACAGAACCUACACUUGAUCUGAGCUAAAUGGCCAAGAAGAUGUCUCCAAGCUGAGAGGGGGAAGCCUUUGUUCCUUCAGUCCCAGCCUUGAUGUUUUCUUUGGUUUUGCCUCGUUCUCUCCUAGGGAGGUUUGGGCUCCUGCUCUGGAGGAACCUUUGGCUUGCGUAGCGAAUUCAUGUGCUUGUAAAAGCGAGAGUGUCCCUAGGAAUGUGCACCCCCAUACUCGCUCCCGUCACCGCACCAGCAGAUGUGUGCUACCAGCUCACAGAUACCUGCUGAUUGGCAUCCUUGCCUUGCCUUGCCCUGCACACUCCCUCUUUCCCAUGUUGCUGUCAGGAGCUGUUCCACAUGUUGGAGGGAAAGGAGAGGCCUUUGUGUUUUACAUAGGAGGGAUAAUCUCAUUUUUAACUGCUGGAAGAAUUACUCCAAAGGUGAUUAUAUGCAAUGCACAUUUAUCUUUGCUUGAAAUAGCACUUUUUUUGUUGUUUUUUUUUUUUUCUUUGUUUACUGGUGGGUAUCUUCAUUCUGACUCUCAAUAAGAUGCUGGCUGUCUGUUUUAUAGUGGAGUGGGCACCUCAAGCAAAUCCAUCUGGGAAGUAAUCAGCCUUUUGUUUUACUUUCCUGGGUGUAAUGCAGUCACAGCCCUUUGCACAUACUUGUGCUGAUACCAGAGCAUUCUCCCCUGGCCAGCAAUGUAUUUGCCCUGGGUUAUAAUUACUUGACCUGGCAGUUUUGCCUUGUGGAUUCCUGGAACCUGAUACCUGCCUGGGGCUGUUUCUGGAUCAGCACGGGUAUCUAAGUGUCCUACAUUUGGGUUUCCAUCAUUUGGGUUUGGCUUGUGUUCCCUGAGCAUCUCUUUCAUAACUUUCCCCCUUUCUCCUGCCUCUCAGUUCAGCAAAGGGCCUGUCUAUCUGGAUGCAGGCAAUAAACAUCUGUUCUCACCCUCACUUCUGUUAAUGAGAUAGAGACAGGUAAGCAUCACACAUACCAACUUCCCUGCUCUCAGCAACAUCAAGGAAAUGGUGACAAGCUAUUAAUGGAAAGUGAUGGUCUGGGUGCUAAUUAGUGCUUCCUUUUCAACUUUUACCUACAUGUCUGCCGAGAUGCCCAUCCCAGUCUCUCCUCUCUCCUUGCAUCCCUUUGUUUCCAGCAGGUUCCAUGUUCACUGUGCGCAUCCCAUGUCAAAGAGGCUUCUCUCUUUAUUUUUUCUCUACCAAUCACUUUCUGCAUCUCUUUCAUUCCCUCAUUUUUCCAUGCACCCUCAUUCUCCUGCAGUUGUUCCAGGCAAAGAAUAAGCACCAUAUUAUAGUAGGAUUUGAAAUCUUGGGGAUGGGACAUGUGAAGUUGGUCAGGAGUUUCUCAUCUUCAUCAGUAGGUAGUAAUAUUUGCUUGUGGCACCAGUGCACGGGGUCAAAUUACCCUGGGGACAUGAGGUCAGAGAUCUGUCCCCUCUUCCCACAGGUAAUGCUGUAGUGAGGCUCCCAGCAGCUCACAGGUCUUGAUCAUGGAGUAAUUAGUAUUUAAAGCAGAUCCUCUGGUAAUGCCCAGAGACUAAGUAGGACAGGCUUCCGUGGUGUGAGCCUGCAGGAGAUGACAGGUCCUGCCCCAGAGAGCUUGUGGUCUAAACUCUAAAUGAUUUUGCUGUCCACCAGACCCUGUUAAUGGCUGGUUUUUGAGAUCCAGCCCAAUUUAUGCUGCUGCAGCAACGUGAUUCCUGGUCUCAGCUUGGUGCCCAGUCUCUCCUGUUUCUCUUUCUUCUGGUCCCUGGGCUCUGCCCCUUCCCCAGGGACCCUAAUCAUCCCCUCCUCACCUCUUUUGCACGGGCUGUGGGUUUCUUGCUGCCAGGCUUGUGUCCCAAGGAGCUGCCUAAUCUGCCCCUGUCAUUCCCAGUCACAGGCUCUGCACACACCAUAGCUUUAUGGGGAAUGCUUGCAGGGCAGUGGGAAGAGGCAGCCAUGGUUUGCACAUCAGCUAAUUAAUUUUCAUGACUGAACGGUGCUGCCUGGUCUCUUGUUUAUACUCCUCGCCGCUCCCCUUCUCCCCCUCCUCGCUGACACACACACAAGACGACACAUCUCGUAGGAACGUCAGCAUCCUUCCACAGCCUUGAGACGCGAGCGGUUAUUCUGUUGGCUUGUCAAACGCGGGUUUCCCUGCUUCAUGGUACACAGGGGCCCCCUGUUUCACAUUUGCUGAUUCUUAUUAGACCCAGCGCGCCAGGGCCUUGUCUCUCCCCGCAAAGCAACGUGCCGCAUCCCAUCCAUAAAUCCAAUCCUGGAACAAAGCCUCUUCUACCCUGCCCCAUAUUUCUACCCAGCCUGCCCGCUUUCCCCUCUCUCUCUCUCUCUCCCCCUCUCCCGUGCUGAAGGUUUCCUAGUGCCAGGGAGAUAUGAUAAUUCUUGUGAAGAGAGCAUGAAAUGCCUCUGCUCUUUGUGUCUGUUUAAUUCAAUGAGAAUCCCAGCCCCAGAUGUCAUGAAUGGUGGGCUUUGUGCUGGCCCUUCCUAAGCCCUAACCGCCAGCCCAGCUCUCUGUCUUUCUUGUUUCCCACCACUGGAUACUGAUUAACAAACUAAAUUAUUUUUCCUCCCUAAUGAUGUUUUCCCACUUUGCCCACCAGGCUGGAAGAAGCCACGGGGAGGAAAGAGUUUGUGCAAAGGAUGAGAUAGCCAGGGAGAAAAUUAAAGAGACAGUGUUGCUCUCUGGGCUCUGGCAAUGCAGGUCCGCUCGGCUUUAUUUCCUUAUUAGAGAAUGGGGUCGUGUCUGGCUGUAUUUUACGUGGCUGGGUGUAUUUCAGCCGAGGGAUGGGCUUGAAAGCAUCUGCGCAAGGUACGCUCUGGAGCAUGCGAAGGUCCGUAACUCACUUGCAAUUGCGUGUGCGAGUUUGCAUGGUCCCAAAUUUAAGGUCUCUUUUCCAGCCGUGAGUGACAUGUGGUAAUUAUUUGACAUCCGUCCAUGCAUAUGGGAACCUCUUUCUAAUUGAGACAAAUUCUCUUUUCCUUAAUCAGACAUGACUGAGAGUUCGUGGAGUGGGAUGCCUUGGGAAGGGCUGGGACGUCUCCACCUGAGCAAGGAGAGAUCCCAGCAAGUGGAGAAGGGAUUUUUCAAGCCCGUGAGUUCCUUUGAGUUGUUGGCUACCGCCUGCCCAGACUUGCCACCUGACUUCUCCGAGUUUCUCCAGGAGGGUCCCAACUGCUUCUGCAUUGGCCCCAGAGAGGAGGCAGCUUUGAUUCAUGAGCACAGCGGGUUUCUGCAUCACUUCGAAUCACGCCGGUCCACCCAUGGGGAGGGAGCCAGGGCAACACAAGGGAUCAUCCCACAUCACUCCUGUAUGUUGCCUUCAGUGCCCUCAAUACCCCUGAGCAGGACCAAAGCGCUUAGACAGAGAGACCCAAGCCAGUCACUGUAACAACUGGUGAAAUAUCGGGUGUGCGAAGGUUGGAAGGAGCUUUUCGCUCCCAGCUUUGCUUAUGGAGCAGAGCUUGGCCCUUGCUGCUCUUGAUCCCUGGGUCUGUGGAGCUGUGGGAGCACAGCCUUCCCAAAGGUGCUGUGCUUGUGGCCCAGAGGACCGUGAGCCUGUCCAGGCCAGACAGCCCUGCUGCUGUUGUGCUGCACCCUCUCUGUUCCUGUAAGAGAAACGUACUGCCUGUAAUUAUCUCCCAUUCAAAUCCCACCCCCCCAAGCACUGUUGAAAAUAAACUCUCCCUUU